CCCGCUGAACUUAAGCAUAUCAAUAAGCGGAGGAAAAGAAACUAACAAGGAUUCCCCUAGUAACUGCGAGUGAAGCGGGAAGAGCUCAAAUUUAAAAUCUGGCGCGCCUCUGGUCGUCCGAGUUGUAGUCUGGAGAAGCGUUUUCUGUGUUGGACCGUGUAUAAGUCUCUUGGAACAGGGCGUCAUAGAGGGUGAGAAUCCCGUCUUUGACACGGACUACCAAUGCUUUGUGAUGCGCUCUCAAAGAGUCGAGUUGUUUGGGAAUGCAGCUCAAAAUGGGUGGUAAAUUCCAUCUAAAGCUAAAUAUAGGCGAGAGACCGAUAGCGAACAAGUACCGUGAGGGAAAGAUGAAAAGCACUUUGGAAAGAGAGUUAAACAGUACGUGAAAUUGCUGAAAGGGAAACGCUUGAAGUCAGUCACGUCUGCCAGGACUCAGCCUUGCUUCUGCUUGGUGUACUUUCUGGUUUGAUGGGCCAACAUCAAUUUUGACCGUUGGAGAAAGGCUGUGGGAAUGUGGCACCUUCGGGUGUGUUAUAGCUCAUGGUUGUAUACAGCGGUUGGGAUUGAGGACUGCAGCACGCCUUUAUGGCCGGGGUUUUGCCCACGUCACGUGCUUAGGAUGUUGGCAUAAUGGCUUUAAGCGACCCGUCUUGAAACACGG
rnacentral:rRNA from 1 species